UACCGAGGGGGCAAGCGUUGUUCGGAAUUACUGGGCGUAAAGGGCGCGUAGGCGGCCUUCUAAGUCGAACGUGAAAUCCCCGGGCUCAACCCGGGAACUGCGUCCGAUACUGGAAGGCUUGAAUCCGGGAGAGGGAUGCGGAAUUCCAGGUGUAGCGGUGAAAUGCGUAGAUAUCUGGAGGAACACCGGUGGCGAAGGCGGCAUCCUGGACCGGUAUUGACGCUGAGGCGCGAAAGCCAGGGGAGCAAACAGG
rnacentral:rRNA from 1 species